UACGUAGGGCGCAAGCGUUAUCCGGAAUUAUUGGGCGUAAAGAGCUCGUAGGCGGUUUGUCGCGUCUGCCGUGAAAGUCCGGGGCUCAACUCCGGAUCUGCGGUGGGUACGGGCAGACUAGAGGUAUGCAGGGGAGAACGGAAUUCCUGGUGUAGCGGUGAAAUGCGCAGAUAUCAGGAGGAACACCGGUGGCGAAGGCGGUUCUCUGGAACGGUACUGACGCUGAGACGCGAAAGCGUGGGGAGCGAACAGG
rnacentral:rRNA from 1 species